GUCGGGUAACGACGUAACGGCAGAAUUGACAUUGUAGUGCUGACUAUAUCGAUAUUUUUUUUUAUCUCGAAGCUAAUUUUUUUUUUUUUUUUUUACAAAAUAUUCGUAUUCAUUACCGCGAAUCGCGACGAUAAUAAUUAUUGUAUCACAAAAAUAUUAACAAUUUGAUGGAAAAAUGUCAGAUCAAUGUCAACGAAUUGCGGCUCGACGACGUGCGACUACUGCGGCGGCAGUUACACGAGCGGUGCGCGUGAAUAUCAUUAUUAUACGGCCACUACGACACGUGAUGACUGUUACAAAACCACGAUUAAUUAUUAUUUAUUAUUAUCCCCGCCGCCGAGUCGACGGGCCCUUCGCCUUGUUCAACAUAAACAGAUUGUUACUAUCGUAUCACGUUUGCGUGCCGGAGAAAAAAAAUGAAUUUAUUUUCAGUCAAUCACACCGUUUGUGCUACCGUUUUUGCAUACCGUUUGACGCAAUGCUGGCGCAACAAUCUAGUUGUUACAUAUUAUUAUUAUUCAUAUAUAUAUAAUAAAUCGGAAUAGUAUUUUUUUA